rnacentral:lncRNA from 1 species
CAGUUCAUCCUUUGGACUUCUUCUGGAAGAUUCCUCCGUAUCAGCCUGCCUUCUGGUCUUGACAUUUCCCUUUCUUACCUCGGGGCUUGUGCACCUGCCGUUGCCUCUCCUGGAAAGCUCUUCCCCAGGGCUUCACGUAACUGCCUUUGAAUCAUGUAAGUCUCAUCUGUUAUCCAGCACUAUUCAUUUUGUUCAUAGAAAUGACCACUAAGUGGAACUUUUUAAAACUUGGAUUAUUUCCUCCGUAGGAAAAUGGUAGUCUUUUCAACAAGUGACACUUGAACAAUUGGAUAUCGGUAUGCAAAAAUAAUGAACGACCACCAUUACCUAUGACCAUCAUUUUCUGUAUCUAGUAGAUUCUUCAGUGGCUCUUCUGCCCACUGAGUCCUCCACCCGCUCUAUGGCACAUCCUUUAUUAAUGUCUUUCUAAAAAAAUAGCCAAUCAGUUGGGAAGCACUGAUGGCCAGACAGGCUUUCCCUGACCACUCUCUAGCUCCUUCCCUUGCUCAUUGCUCUUCAUUGCGUUUGCUCCCUCUAACAUUGUAGAGUUCAUAUUUUUGCUUGUUAUCAACAUACCCAUAAACUCCACCCCCUUAUCCUCUCACCUCUCUGUCUUCAUCCCCCUACCUCAUUCCCUGUAGGCAGGAACGAUCUGCGUAGGGUGAUUUUUCACACCACUGUAUCCCUAGUACCUAGACCGUCCACAUGGAACAGAUGUGAUCACCAAGUUUUAGAAGAAACUUGCAAGCCCAUCGUCCAACACUUAACAUCUUUAUAGAUGGGGAAAUCCAAAGACGACAACUCAGCCCUGUCCCUCGUUGCAUGGUGUUUGGUGGAUGACUUGGCAUGAAGCAUCAUAUCUACAAGAAAAACAAGUCAAAGGCUGAUGCCUCUGAUGGGGAAAUCACCACUCUCUCAGUGGGCAGCCACAGGAAAUGGGUACCUGUCUAUACUGGGGCCACAGGAUUAUGGGGCAAUAUCCCACAUGCCAGAGCAUAACAUAGAGGCUCAUUAAGGACAGAUAUUUGGGAGUGUAUAUUUAUCAAAAAUUCAGAUGGGUGAAUGGCCAUCACAAAUGGGAGAGAGAACUGUUAGCCAACGGGUGACUCAGGGGCUGAGUGUGCACCCCUGUUAUGAAAACUGAUUGUUAAAAAAAAAAAAAAAGUUGUUUGCACUCAUCACAGAUAUCAACAUUUGAAGGCACUGGCUGAUUCCAACUUAUGGCAUAAAUGACUAUUCAAUCGCAAUUGGAAUAGCUUAGACAAAUUAUCUGUGAUUAAAGCAGGCCAAUUUCUCAAAAUAAAAGUCCAACCUGGAGCACAAAUGAG